rnacentral:rRNA from 1 species
AUGUUCAACCUACUCAAGAAAGGAACUCUGUUUGUCUGGACGCAAGCGACUGAGGAGUCAUUCCAACUGCUAAAACAAGGCCUUGUUACUACUCCUGUACUUGCCUACCGGACUUCUCAAAGCCUUAUCGAAACAGAUGCAUGUGAUGCUGGCGUCGGGGCAAUUCUGCAGCAACAGGGGCACCCAAUUGCCUAUAUGAGCAAAGCUCUGUCACCAAAGUAUCAGGGGUUGUCCACCUAUGAAAAGGAAUAUCUGGCCGUGGUAGUGGCUGUGGACCAAUGGCAUCCAUAUCUCCAACACAGUGAGUUUGUCAUACAGAAUGAUUAG